UUGUCUUGCAGGGGAGAAGAGCUGGGCAGACAGUUGCUGCCCAAAGUAAUGCCCGCACUCAAGAUACCUUUAAAACCUUUAUAAACACAGCCUACGGAAUUUCCCUCCUAAAAGCCGAUGUAUGAGUACAGUAUAUGCGCAUUGCGCAGCCUUUCCUUUUAAAAUGAACACAGCUGGCGUUACAUCUUACACGUCAACAGCAAUUUGACCUUUUCUACACUAUAGGCCAUCGGAAUUUUUUUUUAACUGGUCAGCAAAGGUGGUUCUAGUCCCAUCUUGAUAGUCAAGUUGAAGCUUAUCGAGCAGGAAUUCUCUUUAUCUUCCCUCUCUGCAUAGAAGCCGCUCCUGGAAGUGUGUGGCAGGCCGAUCCUUACACUUAACAUAGCCGCAGUAAUAUGGGAUUAAGUCUUACAUGCGCCCUCCAAGUAUUAGCUGCCAGAUUCCCCCCCUUGGGCCUUCAAAGACCAUCAGGUGCAAGUUUUUGCAGGGACCUGUGCAAAUGUGGAAACAUCCACCAACACGUGUCUUCAUAGGUCCCUCUUCAUUUGUGUGUGGCGAGGAGCAAGUGAACUAAAGCUCCACCUGAGGUGAACGUUGCCAGUAGCAGAGAACAUGGAUGCUCUGCAGAAACAAACAGCGUCUGCAUGUGAGCAAGGAUUACACUGUCACCAUGUGACUGCUCUGACCUUAGACAGAACUCUAACACAAGACGGGCCAACAACCUCUUUCAUGGAAAUAGAAGAGGAAAGAGUCUAAAAAUAAAUGCAUUAAGUGCUCUACAGGGAUGAUGAAUGGGCCC